CCACCCUGGAGGUUGCUGACACCCUGUGCCCUCGGCUGACUUCCAGCCGGUGGCACAGACGCCUCCAGGGGGCAGCACUCAAGCGCAUCUUAGGAAUGACAGAGUUGCGUCCCUCUCGGUUGCCAGGCUGGAGUUCAGUGGCAUGUUCAUAGCUCACUGAAGCCUCAAAUUCCUGGGUUCAAGUGACCCUCCUACCUCAGCCCCAUGAGGACCUGGGACUACAGUUCCCUCCCUUUGGAACGCAGCGUGGGCACCUGCAACGCAGAGACCACUGUAUCUCCGGUGCAGAAUGUAAUGAGUGCCUGAUACAUUUGCCGAAUAAACUAUUCCAAGGGUUGAACUUGCUGGAAGCAAGAGAAGCACUAUUCUGGAUGGAGUCUUGCUCUCGUUGCCCAGACUGGAGUGCACUGCUGCAAUCUCA
rnacentral:lncRNA from 1 species